rnacentral:tRNA from 1 species
UUUAAAUAGCUUAAUAAAAGUUUAAUAUUGAAGAUAUUAAGAUAACGAAAUGUUUUUAAAUAU